AGAGUUUGAUCCUGGCUCAGGACGAACGCUGGCGGCAUGCCUAACACAUGCAAGUCGAACGGAGAAAGUUCAACACCAAGUAUUUCAUCCGCUGAAGUGUAGCGGUAAAAAUUGCGAAGCAAUUUUUACUACGCAUUAAAAGCAUGAACUAACACGGUGGUUGAAGUAUUAGGUGUUGAACUUUCUUAGUGGCGAACGGGUGAGUAACGCGUGGGCAACCUGCCCUCUAGAUGGGGACAACAUCCCGAAAGGGGUGCUAAUACCGAAUGUGACAGCAAUCUCGCAUGAGGAUGCUGUGAAAGAUGGCCUCUAUUUAUAAGCUAUCGCUAGAGGAUGGGCCUGCGUCUGAUUAGCUAGUUGGUGGGGUAACGGCCUACCAAGGCGAUGAUCAGUAGCCGGUCUGAGAGGAUGAACGGCCACAUUGGGACUGAGACACGGCCCAGACUCCUACGGGAGGCAGCAGUGGGGAAUCUUCCGCAAUGGGCGAAAGCCUGACGGAGCAAUGCCGCGUGAGUGAUGAAGGAAUUCGUUCCGUAAAGCUCUUUUGUUUAUGACGAAUGUGCAGAUUGUGAAUAAUGAUCUGUAAUGACGGUAGUAAACGAAUAAGCCACGGCUAACUACGUGCCAGCAGCCGCGGUAAUACGUAGGUGGCGAGCGUUGUCCGGAAUUAUUGGGCGUAAAGAGCAUGUAGGCGGUUUUUUAAGUCUGGAGUGAAAAUGCGGGGCUCAACCCCGUAUGGCUCUGGAUACUGGAAGACUUGAGUGCAGGAGAGGAAAGGGGAAUUCCCAGUGUAGCGGUGAAAUGCGUAGAUAUUGGGAGGAACACCAGUGGCGAAGGCGCCUUUCUGGACUGUGUCUGACGCUGAGAUGCGAAAGCCAGGGUAGCGAACGGGAUUAGAUACCCCGGUAGUCCUGGCCGUAAACGAUGGGUACUAGGUGUAGGAGGUAUCGACCCCUUCUGUGCCGGAGUUAACGCAAUAAGUACCCCGCCUGGGGAGUACGUCCGCAAGGAUGAAACUCAAAGGAAUUGACGGGGGCCCGCACAAGCGGUGGAGUAUGUGGUUUAAUUCGACGCAACGCGAAGAACCUUACCAAGGCUUGACAU
rnacentral:rRNA from 1 species